GAUGAUGAGAAAAAAGAUGAGCAAAUUGAAGAAGAGAGAAGACUUAUGUAUGUAGGUAUGACUCGUGCAGAGGAAAGUUUAACUUUGAGCUCACCGAUAAA
rnacentral:sRNA from 1 species